GGGGAAUUAGCUCAAAUGGUAGAGCGCUUGCUUAGCAUCGAGAGAGGUGGGAUCGAUGCCCACAUUCUCCA
rnacentral:tRNA from 1 species